rnacentral:rRNA from 1 species
CAUAUGCUUGUCUCAAAGAUUAAGCCAUGCAUGUCUCAGUACAGACCGAUCUAAGGUGAAACCGCGAAUGGCUCAUUAAAUCAGUCAUAAUUUCUUGGAUAGUGAAAAACUUUCCUCGGAUAACUGUGGAAAAUCCAGAGCUAAUACGUGCAACUGAGCUCCGACCCCGGCUUUCGCCGAGGGAAGAGCGCAUUUAUUAGAUUCAAAACUGACCGUCGUACUCCUCCGGGAUGCGUCGUUUGUCAUAUUGAUGACUCCGGAUAACUAAGCCGAGCGCUACGGUCUUUGUACCGGCGCCGUAUCUUUCAAGUGUCUGCCUUAUCAGCUUUCGAUUGUAGGUUAAACGCCUACAAUGGCUGUAACGGGUAACGGGGAAUCAGGGUUCGAUUCCGGAGAGGGAGCCUGAGAAACGGCUACCACAUCUAAGGAAGGCAGCAGGCACGCAAAUUACCCACUCCCAGCUCGGGGAGGUAGUGACGAAAAAUAACGAUGCGAGACUCUUCCGAGGCCUCGCAAUCGGAAUGAGUCCAGUUUAAAUCCUUGGACGAGGAUCCAUUGGAGGGCAAGUCUGGUGCCAGCAGCCGCGGUAAUUCCAGCUCCAAUAGCGUAUAUUAAAGUUGCUGCGGUUAAAAAGCUCGUAGUUGGAUCUCCUAGAUCCAAUUCGUGGGCGGGUCGCCAGUUGUACGCGCGUCUUCGCGGUCUCUCGAGAGGUGCUCAUUCGGGCGGCGCGACGUUGCGUUAAUUGUCGUUACAUGUCGGAGUAGUCCCUUGCGUAGGGGCAUGCCGAGAGGUGUUUUCGGCGUUUUCGUAUACUCGCGUGCGGUUCGGGUUUGCGCUUAGCGUGUGGACGGUCGACGUAGUCUUCGGGUAUUGCCCGUCCGCGUUUGGUACAAUUAAAAUUUUGUCGGCUCGCUCGGAGUGCUCUUUACCGAGUGUUCCAGGGUGGCCGACACGUUCACUUUGAAAAAAUUAGAGUGCUCAAAGCGGGCUAUAGAGUUGCCUAAAUGUUGUUGCAUGGAAUGAAGGAACAGGACCUCGGUUCUGUUCUUUUUGUCGGUUUUAUUGAACCGAGGUAAUGAUUAAAAGGAACAGACGGUGGCAUUAGUAUUGCGACGCUAGAGGUGAAAUUCUUGGACCGUCGCACGACUAACUACUGCGAAAGCAUUUGCCGAGCAUGUUUUCAUUAAUCAAGAACGAAAGUUAGAGGAUCGAAGGCGAUCAGAUACCGCCCUAGUUCUAACCCUAAACUAUGCUAACUAGCGAUCCGCCGGAGUCAUUCCCACGACCCGGCGGGAAGCCCCAGGGAAACCAAAGUCUUUGAGUUCCGGGGGAAGUAUGGUUGCAAAUCUGAAACUUAAAGGAAUUGACGGAAGGGCACCACCAGGAGUGGCAGUGCGGCUUAAUUUGACUCAACACGGGAAACCUCACCAGGCCCGGACAUCAGAAGGAUUGACAGAUUGAGAGCUCUUUCUCGAUUCGAUGGGUGGUGGUGCAUGGCCGUUCUUAGUUGGUGGAGUGAUCUGUCUGGUUGAUUCCGAUAACGAACGAGACUCUACCCUACUAACUAGUCGGCGGAUCGUAACCCUGUGCUGGGGGGAUCCGAAGUUCGCUUUGCAGUCUUCGGGGGGCGAAAACGUUUUCGGUGUUUCCGGAUGUCGAUACGUUCUAGUUCUUCGUUGCGCUCGCGGGUGUGACCGAGGUGACUCUUACUGGGGGCGUCCGUCGCAAUGUAUCUUCUUAGAGGGAUCAGCGGCGUCUAGCCGCACGAGAAAGAGCAAUAACAGGUCUGUGAUGCCCUUAGAUGUUCUGGGCCGCACGCGCGCUACAAUGUACGGAUCAGCGUGCCACCCCGCCCCGAAAGGAGUGGGUAACCCGUUGAAACCCGUACCCAAUUGGGAUUGGGGAUUGCAAAUGUUUCCCAUAAACGAGGAAUUCCCAGUAAUCGUGAAUCAUUAAUUCGCGCUGAUUACGUCCCUGCCCUUUGUACACACCGCCCGUCGCUACUACCGAUUGAAUGAUUCAGUGAGGUCAUCGGACUGGCACCUUCGGUUGCAACAUACCUUAGGUUGACGGAAAGACGUCCGAACUCGAUCAUUUAGAGGAAGUAAAAGUCGUAACAAGGUUUCCGUAG